GAUGAACGCUGGCGGCGUGCCUAAUACAUGCAAGUCGAGCGAACAGAUGAGGAGCUUGCUCCUCUGACGUUAGCGGCGGACGGGUGAGUAACACGUGGAUAACCUACCUAUAAGACUGGGAUAACUUCGGGAAACCGGAGCUAAUACCGGAUAAUAUAUUGAACCGCAUGGUUCAAUAGUGAAAGACGGUUUUGCUGUCACUUAUAGAUGGAUCCGCGCCGCAUUAGCUAGUUGGUAAGGUAACGGCAUACCAAGGCAACGAUGCGUAGCCGACCUGAGAGGGUGAUCGGCCACACUGGAACUGAGACACGGUCCAGACUCCUACGGGAGGCAGCAGUAGGGAAUCUUCCGCAAUGGGCGAAAGCCUGACGGAGCAACGCCGCGUGAGUGAUGAAGGUCUUCGGAUCGUAAAACUCUGUUAUUAGGGAAGAACAAAUGUGUAAGUAACUAUGCACGUCUUGACGGUACCUAAUCAGAAAGCCACGGCUAACUACGUG
rnacentral:rRNA from 1 species